AACGAACGCUGGCGGCAUGCCUAACACAUGCAAGUCGAACGAGACCUUCGGGUCUAGUGGCGCACGGGUGCGUAACGCGUGGGAACCUGCCCUUAGGUUCGGAAUAACUCCCCGAAAGGGGUGCUAAUACCGGAUAAUGUCUUCGGACCGAAGAUUUAUCGCCUUUGGAUGGGCCCGCGUUGGAUUAGCUAGUUGGUAGGGUAAAAGCCUACCAAGGCGACGAUCCAUAGCUGGUCUGAGAGGAUGAUCAGCCACACUGGGACUGAGACACGGCCCAGACUCCUACGGGAGGCAGCAGUGGGGAAUAUUGGACAAUGGGCGAAAGCCUGAUCCAGCAAUGCCGCGUGAGUGAUGAAGGCCUUAGGGUUGUAAAGCUCUUUUACCCGGGAUGAUAAUGACAGUACCGGGAGAAUAAGCGCCGGCUAACUCCGUG
rnacentral:rRNA from 1 species